AGCAGCCGCGGUAAUUCCAGCUCCAAUAGCGUAUAUUAAAGUUGUUGCAGUUAAAAAGCUCGUAGUUGAAUUUCGGGGUUAAUAAGUUGGUCAUGCUUAUGGUAUGUACUGGCUUUAUUGAUUCCUACCUCUUGACGAACUGUGAUGCCAUUAAUUUGGUGUUGCAAGGAAUCAGGACUGUUACCUUGAAAAAAUUAGAGUGUUUAAAGCAGGCUUACGCUUGAAUACAUUAGCAUGGAAUAAUGAGAUAGGACGUUUGAACCUAUUUUGUUGGUUUCUAGGAUCGACGUAAUGAUUAAUAGGGAUAGUUGGGGGCAUUAGUAUUCAAUUGUCAGAGGUGAAAUUCUUGGAUUUAUUGAAGACUAACUACUGCGAAAGCAUUUGCCAAGGAUGUUUUCAUUAAUCAAGAACGAAAGUUAGGGGAUCGAAGACGAUCAGAUACCGUCGUAGUCUUAACCAUAAACUAUGCCGACUAGGGAUCGGAUGAUGUUAAUUUUUAAUGACUCAUUCGGCGCCUUAC
rnacentral:rRNA from 1 species